GACGAACGCUGGCGGCGUGCUUAACACAUGCAAGUCGAACGGUGAAGCGCCUUCCUUUUUGGUGGGUGUGGAUGAGUGGCGAACGGGUGAGUAACACGUGAGUAACCUGCCCCCUUCUUCUGGAUAACCGCAUGAAAGUGUGGCUAAUACGGGAUAUUCUGGGUCUGUCGCAUGAUGGGUCUGGGAAAGAUAUUGUUUCGGUGGGGGAUGGGCUCGCGGCCUAUCAGCUUGUUGGUGGGGUGAUGGCCUACCAAGGCGGUGACGGGUAGCCGGCCUGAGAGGGUGGACGGUCACACUGGGACUGAGACACGGCCCAGACUCCUACGGGAGGCAGCAGUGGGGAAUAUUGCACAAUGGGCGCAAGCCUGAUGCAGCGACGCCGCGUGAGGGAUGGAGGCCUGCGGGUUGUGAACCUCUUUCGCCAGUGAAGCAGGACUGCCUCGUUUGUGGGUGGGUUGACGGUAGCUGGAGAAGAAGCGCCGGCUAACUACGUG
rnacentral:rRNA from 1 species